rnacentral:rRNA from 1 species
AUUGAACGCUGGCGGCAUGCCUUACACAUGCAAGUCGAACGGUAACAGGUCUUCGGAUGCUGACGAGUGGCGAACGGGUGAGUAAUACAUCGGAACGUGCCUAGUAGUGGGGGAUAACUACUCGAAAGAGUGGCUAAUACCGUAUGAGAUCUACGGAUGAAAGCAGGGGAUCGCAAGACCUUGUGCCAAUAGGGCAGCCAAUGGCAGAAUGGGUAGGUGGUGGGAUAAAAGCUUACCAAGCCGACGAUCAGUAGCUGGUCUGCGAGGGCGAUUAGGCACACGGGGACUGAGACACGGCCCAGACUCCUACGGGAGGCAGCAGUGGGGAAUGUUGGACAAUGGGCGCAAGCCUGAUCCAGCAAUGCCGCGUGCAGGAUGAAGGCCUUCGGGUUGUAGACUGCUUUUGUACGGAACGAAAAGCCCUGGGUUAAUACCCUGGGGUCAUGACGGUACCGUAAGAAUAAGCACCGGCUAACUACGUGCCAGCCGCCGCAGUAAUAC